AGAGUUUGAUUAUGGCUCAGAAUGAACGUUGGCGGCGUGGAUUAGGCAUGCAAGUCGUGCGAGAAGUCUUUUGCUUGCAUUAGACGGAAAGCGGCGAAAGGGAGAGUAACGCGUGGAUACCUACCUCUGGGUUCGGGAUAGCUGCGGGAAACUGCAGGUAAUACCGAAUAACAUCUCCGGAUCAAAGGUGUGAUUCCGCCUGGAGACGGAUCCGCGUCCUAUUAGCUUGUUGGUGGGGUAACGGCCUACCAAGGCUACGAUGGGUACCGGGCGUGAGAGCGUGACCCGGCUCACUGGGAUUGAGACACUGCCCAGACACCUACGGGUGGCUGCAGUCGAGAAUCUUCGGCAAUGGACGAAAGUCUGACCGAGCGACGCCGCGUGCGGGAUGAAGGCCUUCGGGUUGUAAACCGCUGUCAGUUGGGAGGAAAUCACAUGGGGUUCUCUCCAUGUGUUGACCUAUCUUCAGAGGAAGGACGGGCUAAGUUCGUGCCAGCAGCCGCGGUAAGACGAACCGUCCAAACGUUAUUCGGAAUUACUGGGCUUAAAGGGUGCGUAGGCGGUUCUAUAAGUUGGGUGUGAAAUACCUCGGCUCAACCGAGGAAUUGCGCCCAAUACUGUAGGACUAGAGGGAGACAGAGGUGAGCGGAACUUGUGGUGGAGCGGUGAAAUGCGUUGAUAUUACAAGGAACACCUGUGGCGAAAGCGGCUCACUGGGUCUCUUCUGACGCUGAGGCACGAAAGCUGGGGGAGCGAACGGGAUUAGAUACCCCGGUAGUCCCAGCUGUAAACGAUGAGCACUAGACCGGAGGACCCUCCAUAGUUUUCCGGUCGUAGCG
rnacentral:rRNA from 1 species